rnacentral:rRNA from 1 species
UUUUCCGGUUGAUCCUGCCGGACCCGACUGCUAUUUGGGUGAGAAUAAGCCAUGCAAGUCGAAUGGGAUACCUAAAUUUCCCAUGGCAAACUGCUCAGUAACACAUGAUCAACUUACCCUAUAGAGAAAAAUAACCUCGGGAAACUGAGGAUAAUAUUUCAUAGUUGAAUAGGCUUGGAAAAGUUAUUCAAUAAAAAGGAUAAAAAAAAUGGUUUUUAUCUGCUAUAGGAUAGGAUCGUGGACGAUUAUGGUCGUUGGUGAGGUAAUGGCUCACCAAGCCUUUUACCGGUACGGGCCGUGGGAGCGGUAGCCCGGAGAUGGGCACUGAGACAAGGGCCCAGGCCCUACGGGGCGCAGCAGUCGCGAAAACUCCGCAAUAAGCGAAAGCUUGACGGGGCUAUCACGAGUGCCGUCUGCUGAAGAUGGCUUUUACCCAGUGUACAUAGCUGGGAGAAUAAGGAGAGGGCAAGUCUGGUGUCAGCCGCCGCGGUAAUACCAGCUCUCCGAGUUGUGGGGAUAAUUAUUUGGCCUAAAGCAUCCGUAGCCGGCUGGGCAAGUCCUUCGUUAAAUCCAGCGACUAAUCGUUGGCUUGCGGGGGAUACUGUUCGGCUAGGGGGCGGGAGAGGCCGCCGGUAUUCUCGGGGUAGGGGUGAAAUCCUAUAAUCCCGGGAAGACCACCAGUGGCGAAGGCUGUCGGCUAGAACGCGCCCGACGGUGAGGGAUGAAAGCUGGGGGAGCGAACCGGAUUAGAUACCCGGGUAGUCCCAGCUGUAAACGAUGCAGGCUAGGUGUUAGGGCGGCCACGAGCCGCUUUAGUGCCGCAGGGAAGCUGUUAAGCCUGCCGCCUGGGGAGUACGGCCGCAAGGCUGAAACUUAAAGGAAUUGGCGGGGGAGCACCACCAGGGGUGAAGCUUGCGGUUUAAUUGGAGUCAACGCCGGGAAUCACUAGU